rnacentral:rRNA from 1 species
GCGGGGUAACGGCCCACCAAGGCGACGAUCAGUAGGGGUUCUGAGAGGAAGGUCCCCCACAUUGGAACUGAGACACGGUCCAAACUCCUACGGGAGGCAGCAGUGAGGAAUAUUGGUCAAUGGGCGAGAGCCUGAACCAGCCAAGUAGCGUGCAGGAUGACGGCCCUAUGGGUUGUAAACUGCUUUUAUGCGGGGAUAAAGUGAGGGACGUGUCCCUUAUUGCAGGUACCGCAUGAAUAAGGACCGGCUAAUUCCGUGCCAGCAGCCGCGGUAAUACGGAAGGUCCGGGCGUUAUCCGGAUUUAUUGGGUUUAAAGGGAGCGUAGGCCGUCUGGUAAGCGUGUUGUGAAAUGUCGGGGCUCAACCUGGGCAUUGCAGCGCGAACUGUCAGACUUGAGUGCGCGGGAAGUAGGCGGAAUUCGUCGUGUAGCGGUGAAAUGCUUAGAUAUGACGAAGAACUCCGAUUGCGAAGGCAGCCUGCUGUAGCGCAACUGACGCUGAAGCUCGAAAGCGUGGGUAUCGAACAGGAUUAGAUACCCUGGUAGUCCACGCGGUAAACGAUGGAUGCUCGCUGUUUGCGUCUGACGUAAGCGGCCAAGCGAAAGC